rnacentral:rRNA from 1 species
AACGAACGCUGGCGGCAGGCUUAACACAUGCAAGUCGAGCGCCCCGCAAGGGGAGCGGCAGACGGGUGAGUAACGCGUGGGAAUCUACCCAUCUCUACGGAAUAACGCAUGGAAACGUGUGCUAAUACCGUAUACGUCCUUCGGGAGAAAGAUUUAUCGGAGAUGGAUGAGCCCGCGUUGGAUUAGCUAGUUGGUGGGGUAAAGGCCUACCAAGGCGACGAUCCAUAGCUGGUCUGAGAGGAUGAUCAGCCACACUGGGACUGAGACACGGCCCAGACUCCUACGGGAGGCAGCAGUGGGGAAUAUCGGACAAUGGGCGCAAGCCUGAUCCAGCCAUGCCGCGUGAGCGAUGAAGGCCCUAGGGUUGUAAAGCUCUUUCACCGGUGAAGAUAAUGACGGUAACCGGAGAAGAAGCCCCGGCUAACUUCGUGCCAGCCGCCGCCGUAAUGC